ACGUAGGUGGCAAGCGUUGUCCGGAAUUAUUGGGCGUAAAGCGCGCGCAGGCGGAUCAGUCAGUCUGUCUUAAAAGUUCGGGGCUUAACCCCGUGAUGGGAUGGAAACUGCUGAUCUAGAGUAUCGGAGAGGAAAGUGGAAUUCCUAGUGUAGCGGUGAAAUGCGUAGAUAUUAGGAAGAACACCAGUGGCGAAGGCGACUUUCUGGACGAAAACUGACGCUGAGGCGCGAAAGCCAGGGGAGCGAACGG
rnacentral:rRNA from 1 species